CUGCAGUACUUACAGUCCCUCCACCUGCGGCGGCCGAAAAUGCUGGGCAAGGAGGCAACAGGUUGGAAGAGGAGUUGUGGUUCCAAACACUUGUAAUGCCAGCCUUCAUCCACAAAGGGGCAGUGUUUCCCAGGCAGUAAAUCAGGCCAGUGGUAUGCAGUGACAGAGUCCAGGUGGCAUGGAAGGAUAUAACUCCAUUGGAGAGCCGGGGCAGGAACAUCUGGGCCGGAGAGGAGCGACACUUGCUUCAGAGUAAAUCUGUGGUACAGGGCUGUGGGCGUUUUGAAGAGGAAACACUAGUUUGGCAACGUCCACGGCCUUUAUUUGCAGGAGACGCUGGACUGAGCAACACAUUGACCCCAGCUGGGAAGAAACUACCAUUUCUGACACAAACUCAUGUCUGUAAAAGACUGCAUUGUUCUGCUGGCUACUAUUGAUGUUCAGGUGAAACCGCACAAUGUGUUUAGUCUAAGAUAAAAAUCAUUCACAAAGCUGAAUAGUGUUGCAUAUUAGAGCUUUAACUGACAUUUAGAUCCAUGCUUCUAUGAUCCGCUAGCCAUCCAAGGAGAAGGAGGGAUCUCGUUUUAACGCAGUAACUAAGACGAUGGAGUAAACAGCAAAUUAUGAACCAGAUAUUAGUGAUGCCGCUCUGGCCCCCGUUGACCUUCGUUAAUUAAGUUGAACUGAAGCCCUGAAAACAAAAGAUCCAACAAAACUAACAGUGGGCCCACUGUUGAAUUAAUUUAAGGGUUGGAGAUGUUAAACAAUAGAGUUUUUUUUUCCAGUGGUACCUCAUGGCCACUGUGAAGUACAGUGAAGGAUCUGUGAUUGUGUGGACCCAGGUCUCUUCUAAAGACCCUCAGAACCUGUUUAGACUGCAUGGCCUCAAAAGCACUUGGAGCUUUAAAGGCAUUUCAAUUAAAGCGCUAAUGGACUCAGUCAAGAAGACUAAAACUGGGUCAUCAGUCUGCUUAGAAGUGUGGACAGUUUUAAGUCCCAUCUCAGCCUUAUGGGUGCUU